CCUACGGGUGGCAGCAGUGAGGAAUAUUGGUCAAUGGACGAGAGUCUGAACCAGCCAAGUAGCGUGAAGGAUGACUGCCCUAUGGGUUGUAAACUUCUUUUAUAUGGGAAUAAAACGUUCCACGUGUGGGAUUUUGUAUGUACCAUAUGAAUAAGGAUCGGCUAACUCCGUGCCAGCAGCCGCGGUAAUACGGAGGAUCCGAGCGUUAUCCGGAUUUAUUGGGUUUAAAGGGAGCGUAGGUGGAUUGUUAAGUCAGUUGUGAAAGUUUUCGGCUCAACCGUAAAAUUGCAGUUGAAACUGGCAGUCUUGAGUACAGUAGAGGUGGGCGGAAUGCGUGGUGUAGCGGUGAAAUGCUUAGAUAUCACGAAGAACUCCGAUUGCGAAGGCAGUUCACUGGACUGCAACUGACACUGAGGCUCGAAAGUGUGGGUAUCAAACAGGAUUAGAUACCCCUGUAGUC
rnacentral:rRNA from 1 species